rnacentral:tRNA from 1 species
GUCCCUGUACUUUAACUAGAAGGUUGGUUUUGCACGCCUGAAGUGCGGGCUAUAUCCCGUCGGGGACU